ACGAAAAAGAGCAAAGUGCUCUGAAACAAUGCGGUCUUAUACAACAAAACGAAUGUUAAAUCUGAUGAAGUAAAAGAUUUGGCACCAAUCUGUAAAAUAUUUAGUAGAACAUAAGAGGUAGAAGAAUUUGCUCAAAUUCAAGGUGUUUUAU